rnacentral:lncRNA from 1 species
UAACACCAAUGGUGGCGCAGAUCUGAUGCACUUUGCGCCAUCCAACCCUUAAGAUCCGCAACCAACGGUGCGAAAGUCUGGGAAAUGGAACUCGUCGGAGUGCAAGGUAGUCAUUGCCACUUGCAAAACUGUAAUUGUCAAAGGCCGCCGACAAGACAAAUGCUUCUCCACAAAAGGAUGAUAAAGUAUCGCAAAAAUGUUUAACAAGUCAGCGGGAAAACACUGGACUAUAUCGCAAAUGAAGAACUCCUAUUUGAACUGUUGCAAUGCACAAGAAUUGAGUACCUCUCAAGGACCAAUACAAUCGUCGCCCCUGAGCAUUUUGGGAAGCAAAAAUCAUGGUACUGGAUUUUUCAAGUUCAGUUUUGAGAAAGCGUUACAACUCUACUUUCAGUCCACAACUGCACAUCGAUAAUAUAAUUUUGAAUUAAAACCAGUUAAAUGUAUGCAUGUGCUCACCAAUCACAUUUGAAACGAUUUACUCGCUCCUGAACUAUCAUUGAAUUGCAGAUGCCGUCACUGUAGUAACUUGUUUCUUAGUCUCAAGCUUAUUUCUUUUCUUCUUAAUUGACCUUCUUUUCAUGAAUGGUUUACUAGGAGUGAAAAUUUCAAACAAGAAAAUUAAUUUAAUUUAACCAUUGUGGUUUUAUAUAUUACUCAUAAGCAAGAAACUUGGGGAUUUUCUUCAUUUACGAUAAAGUUUUUUGCUUUUCAGAGGGUUUUCGCAAACCUCUACAUUUUCCCAAAGAAGAUAACUGGUUGUGAUGUUUUUUCUACUUGAGUUUUUGGGCUGGUAUUCCUUGAGUGUGAUUCGGGAUUAUUAGCUUAUGACAAAUACUUCUAAAUUUUGCGUUUGAUUUUAAUUUCAACAUACUAACGUGCUGUUGCUAUGGUGGUAUAUAUACACAAUAGAUGAUAUUUCUAUAUCAAUUAAUUUUGUGAUUCUUGUCUUCUCGUGGAUGAGGUCUUGAUGACAAUUAACCUACUCCGGUUGUAAACUUAAAGGUUAUAGGAAGUUAGUAUGAAGAAAAAUUGAGUACAAGAUAAAAAAAAUUCCAUUAAUUUUACAAAUAUAUUCAUCUACAAAUAAGUGCAAAUACUAGCAUCAUAACAUGAUUUAGAUUAAUAGAAAGAUGUUUUUGCUGCCAAUUUAUGUAUGAGUUCUUUGCUGUUAAUUGAAUUCGAUUGAGGUUUCCAUCAUGUUUCGACGUUCAUGCAGUCAUGCACAUAAUUUAUUUAUUUAUUUUUGCAUCAAAGUUCAUUUACCGUCUUUUUUGUGCAUUCAAGAUAACCCGAAAUAUAUGAAGUACAAGCGUUAGACUACAACGAGAUUUACAACACGUAUGGAAAAUUGUACGACGACGCAACGAAGUACGUGUUGUCCCCAACAAAGCUAUCAUAUAGUGGUUUCAACCUGAGUACAGACAGUGACAAAUAGGACGGAGGCGAUAAGUUGCCCAUCAACGUGAAGGGAACCAAUUAUAGUGGAAGUCCAAGCAAAGAAAGAGGAAACUCUUCCAUGAAUAUAUCCAGGAAAUGAAGUGGUGAUAAACGAAAAGGCAAACAACGGAGAGAUAAAUAAAAGAGGAAAAGGUACAGUGCGCGAGAUGUUUUUGCAUCACUUGAGCAGAUGGUUAGUGUUAAAACAAUCUUGCCUCAAUUGCGAGAUCAUAUCAUAAUUGAGGAAUGAUGGUUGUCGAGUACGUUGACAAACUUCUAUCAUUUAUGCAUGUGAAAGAGGGUGAUGUGCUCCACCUGUUCGCCCUGUGGUUCUUUCGCGACAAAGAUAAUCACGAUUCAUAUUGUACUACCAAGACACCAUUUCUGCGCUUCAAGUUUGUGGAGUCCGCUUCAAGCGAGACAAUAUAUCGCUUUAGCGAAAGGGGUGAUUUGUACAGUAUUAGGGUACUGUGAUCAGCAGUUUUUUCUCUCUUUUAUUUAUAUUACUAGUGUACUAGAGCUGUAUCUGAAUUCUCCUGUGAGAAAUUUUCUGUGACACAUGUGAAACUAGCCUAUUUUCAUGGUUAUGAUUUGUAUUUUUACUAUUGUCAUAUUCCUU